GAUGGUUUAACCCCCUCCGCUACUA
rnacentral:tRNA from 1 species